rnacentral:rRNA from 1 species
AUUGAACGCUGGCGGCAGGCCUAACACAUGCAAGUCGAACGGGUGGCGGACGGGAGUGUAAUGUCCGGGAAACUGCGUGAUGGAGGGGGCUAACUACUGGAAACGGUAGCUAAUACCGCAUAACAACGGAUGUGCACAGAUGGGAUUAGCUAGUAGGUGGGGAAACGGCUCACCUAGGCGACGAUCCCUAGCUGGUCUGAGAGGAUGACCAGCCACACUGGAACUGAGCCACGGUCCAGACUCCUACGGGAGGCAGCAGUGGGGAAGAUUGCACAAUGGGCGCAAGCCUGAUGAGGCCAUGCCGCGUGUAUGAAGAAGGUCUUCGGGUUGUAAAGUACUUUCAGCGGGGAGGCGUUACCCGAAGAAGAAGCAACGGCUAACUCCGUGCCAGCCGCCGCGGUAAUAC